AUCUGAGGGCGAUCUGGCUACGACAUCUGUCACCCCAUUGAUCGCCAAGGUUGAUACCGCUGAUCAGGUUGGCUAGGCGGGUGUCUCCUUCCUCCCUCACCGCUCCAUGUGCGUCCCUCCUGAAGCUGCAUGCUCGGUCGAAGAGGAUGACCUUCCCCGAAUAGAGGAGGACCCGUCUUCGGUCAAGGGUAUAUGAGUAACUGUGCUUCCCUGCUAGAACCUCCAAACAAGCUCUCAAGGUCUA
rnacentral:snRNA from 1 species